AUCCCAGCCAUGUGGAAGUAGAAGCAAGAACAGGAGUUCAAGGGCAGCUUGGGCUCCCUGAGACCCUGGUUCAGGAAUUUAUAACGGUCCACUGUGGGGAA
rnacentral:miRNA from 1 species